rnacentral:rRNA from 1 species
UCUGACUGUAAUAAAGUAGCAUAAUUAGUUGUCAUUUAAUUGAUGAAGAGAAUGAAUGGUUACACGAAUUUUUCACUGUCUUAAAAAAAAUUUUUUAAAAUUGAAAUAAUAGUUAAGAUGCUAUUUAAAAUUGUAAGACGAAGAGACCCUAUAGAGCUUUACUAUAAACUUUUUUCUUAAAAAUAAUAAAAAAUUAUUAAAACUAGAAAGUUUGGUAGUUUAGUUGGGGCGACUGUUUUUUAAAAAUAACAAAAAUAAGCAAUAUAAUAAAUUUAUUUAUUGUAUAAUUAAACAAUUUAACAAUUACUAUAGUAGGCUAUAAUGACCCGUUAUUAUAAUAAAUAAUAAAUAACGAUUAAUUGAUAAAAGCUACCUUAGG